CCUACGGGAGGCAGCAGUGAGGAAUAUUGGUCAAUGGGCGUAAGCCUGAACCAGCCAAGUCGCGUGAGGGAUGAAGGUUCUAUGGAUCGUAAACCUCUUUUAUAAGGGACUAAAGUGCGGGACGUGUCCCGUUUUGUAUGUACCUUAUGAAUAAGGAACGGCUAACUCCGGCCCAGCAGCCGCGGUACUAUGGAGGGUUCUGGCGUUAUCCGGAUUUAUUGGGUUUAAAGGGUGCGUAUGCGGCCUUUUAAGUCAGCGGUGAAAGUCUGUGGCUCAACCAUAGAAUUGCCGUUGAAACUGGGGGGCUUGAGUAUGUUUGAGGCAGGCGGAAUGCGUGGUGUAGCGGGGAAAUGCUUAGAUAUCACGCAGAACCCCGAUUGCGAAGGCAGCCUGCCAAGCCAUGACUGACGCUGAUGCACGAAAGCGUGGGGAUCAAACAGGAUUAGAUACCCUUGUAGUC
rnacentral:rRNA from 1 species